rnacentral:rRNA from 1 species
CCNNCAAUGUNUNGACUGAGCGGGCAGCCCCUNAACACAUGCCAAGCUUCGAGUCGGACNGUNGUGGUCCUUUCNGGCAUGCCGGCNCAGCGGNGAGACGGUGUCGUAGCUAAUGCCUAGGCAAUNUGNCUGCGUCACUGGCGCGGUAUAGACUNCGGUGGNAACACUCGAAGGCAUAAUACCCGCAUACGUUCCUACGGGUAGAAAGGCGGGGGAUCUUCGGACCUCGCGCUACCAGAUGAGCCUAGGUCGGAUUAGCUAGUUGGUGAGGUAAAGGCUCACCAAGGCGACGAUCCGUAGCUGGUCUGAGAGGAUGAUCAGCCACACUGGAACUGAGACACGGUCCAGACUCCUACGGGAGGCAGCAGUGGGGAAUAUUGGACAAUGGGCGAAAGCCUGAUCCAGCCAUGCCGCGUGUGUGAAGAAGGUCUUCGGAUUGUAAAGCACUUUAAGUUGGGAGGAAGGGCAGUAAGCUAAUACCUUGCUGUUUUGACGUUACCGACAGAAUAAGCACCGGCUAACUUCGUGCCAGCAGCCGCGGUAAUACGAAGGGUGCAAGCGUUAAUCGGAAUUACUGGGCGUAAAGCGCGCGUAGGUGGUUUGAUAAGUUGGAUGUGAAAGCCCCGGGCUCAACCUGGGAAUUGCAUCCAAAACUGUCUGACUAGAGUAUGGCAGAGGGUGGUGGAAUUUCCUGUGUAGCGGUGAAAUGCGUANAUAUAGGAAGGAACACCAGUGGCGAAGGCGACCACCUGGGCUAAUACUGACACUGAGGUGCNAAAGCGUGGGGGAGCAAACAGGAUUAGAUACCCUGGUAGUCCACGCCGUAACGAUGUCNACUANCCGUUGGGAUCCUUGAAAUCUUANNGGCGCAACUAACNNUUAANUCNACCGCUGGGGGAUACNGCCNNAGGNUAAACUNAAANAAUUGACGGGGNCCCCNCAANNGGGGNNNNUGNGNUUNAUUCAANNANCGNAAAACCUUACNGGCNUUNAANGCAAAAAUUU